AACGAACGCUGGCGGCAUGCCUAACACAUGCAAGUCGAACGAGACCUUCGGGUCUAGUGGCGCACGGGUGCGUAACGCGUGGGAACCUGCCCUUAGGUUCGGAAUAACUCCCCGAAAGGGGUGCUAAUACCGGAUAAUGUCUUCGGGCCAAAGAUUUAUCGCCUUUGGAUGGGCCCGCGUUGGAUUAGCUAGUUGGUAGGGUAAAAGCCUACCAAGGCGACGAUCCAUAGCUGGUCUGAGAGGAUGAUCAGCCACACUGGGACUGAGACACGGCCCAGACUCCUACGGGAGGCAGCAGUGGGGAAUAUUGGACAAUGGGCGAAAGCCUGAUCAAGCAAUGCCGCGUGAGUGAUGAAGGCCUUAGGGUUGUAAAGCUCUUUUACCCGGGAUGAUAAUGACAGUACCGGGAGAAUAAGCUCCGGCUAACUCCGUG
rnacentral:rRNA from 1 species